UACGUAGGGUGCAAGCGUUGUCCGGAAUUAUUGGGCGUAAAGGGCUCGUAGGCGGUCCAUCACGUCGGGAGUGAAAACCUGGGGCUCAACUCCAGGCUUGCGGUCGAUACGGGCAGGCUCGAGUUCGGUAGGGGAGACUGGAAUUCCUGGUGUAGCGGUGAAAUGCGUAGAGAUCAGGAAGAACACCGGUGGCGAAGGCGCUCUGCUAGGCCGUAACUGACACUGAGGGACGAAAGCUAGGGGAGCGAAUGGG
rnacentral:rRNA from 1 species